AAAAAUAGUAAAAAAACUGCUGCCACUCUUUUUGCUCUGCUAGGGUUUGGAACCCUAGCGUCCUCGCGCCGCCUCCCAGGCGAUUCGGUCGGUCUGAAAUCCGGCACCGAUUCCGACCCCAACUCAGGUAAGUUUUCUUUUUCUUUUUCUUUGUUAUUUUAAAUGAAACAAAAUGAAAAGUAAAAGAAAAUGAAAAAACAUAUGUAAAACGAUAGACACUAUCAACAACGAAAAAGAAAUCACCUUUAAAGAACAAGUUUUUCACUAUUUUUUUCUCUAUUCUCGAUUAUUUAUCUUUUUAGUGUACAAGUUAGGCUUUUAUAGCCUCAGAAAACUGCUUUAUUUUACAAUAUUGGGACUCUUUUAGUCCGCUUUUGCAGGUGGUUGUGGAGAGCACGGCGCGCGUGGAGGCCGAAACUUGCGGCGGCUGGAGGCUGGGCGUGGGAGCGGCGCGCGUGCAAGGUAGUUGCCUAGGGUUUUUUUUUACUUAGGUUUUCUUUAGUUGCUGAGUUGAGCUAGGUUAGUUUGUGUUUUAGGCCAUACGGGUUAUUGGGUUUGGGCACAGGAAUUAUUGGGCUUGUACACUAUUAAUCCAAGACUUUUUGCAGCGAAUUUUAGUAUAAAUGUCGCUAUAUUUAUGGCGCCAAAAUAUUCACAUGACAUUGUUGUGAAGCAGGUGAUGAAACUUGAAAUUAGCGACGUUUUAUACAGUAAACGUCGCAACUUUUGUCACAAUGGGUGGUGUGUUACUUUGAAACGCAGCGGUUAAAAGUAAUACAUGGCGACAUUUUUUUCUAAAAGCACCACUAGUUAUGCCAUUGUAUGUAGAAUUUGAUAUAGUGCUUGGUCUCUCUCUAAUUCUAAUCUUAUCAUUGAUAUCUCCACUAAUAUCUUAAGUGAUUCUUUUUGACCCCUGAAUAAUAGUUGGAGUUGUUUAAUGUUGUUAUCUAAG
rnacentral:lncRNA from 1 species